AAGCAAUUUGCUCAUAGCCAUAGCUUUCUUGUGAAAGUAGGAUAUUAACCCAGGUGUCUUGGUGCUGGAGAACAGAACUGGCCAGAGUCCAUCCUGUCUCCCACCGGCAUCCCAUUACGAAAUGAACACAGAAAAGGCAGGUCUGCAAUGCCAACAUCUAGUAUCUAUCCCAAAGACCAGGGAGAAAGGAAGGAAAGAUUCUGGUUCUGUCCUCUUCCCCAAGGCAAGGCUGGCUGCCCUACCAACAGAGGCAAAGAGAAGAGUGUGCAAGGCUGGCUGCCCUCCCAACAGAGGCAAAGAGGAGUGUGUGUUGAAAUAUCCAUUGAAUCCCUGAGACAACUGGAUCCUGGCCCAUUGAAUCAUAAACUCAUUUCAGAGAAGAUGAAACUGAUGUGCGUCAAAAAGUUAUGGAGGCUGGGAAGACCUAGAAUGUGGCAUCACUAUUUGCUGAAAUUUUUAAUAUAAUGCCUCUUAGCCUGGUUUGGAGAAAACGUCACAGAGAGGCACCAUUUGUUGUGGUUUUACAUGAAAAUUUUCUGACCCUGAACCUGGUUUGAUGGAAAUCAUUUGCUGAGGUUAUUUAGAAAAUUGUUACCUCAAAAAUGACCUAGGGGUCCUUAGAAUAAUAACACACAGAAGAAUAGCCUCAUUUUUCUGUUGGGCCCAGGAAACCAUGCCGAUUACCGACCGAGCUCUCAAUGGAAAAAUGCAGUCGGCGUGAACCACGCACGAACACAGCAGAGAAAGAAGAAAACACACACCACGAGGAACCCUAAUAGGACAAUACAUUAUAAGUCACAGUGCUACGGAGAAACCCAGUAGCCACAUGGAAGCAGAGACCAUGCAUAUGCAUCUACUCCGCAGCUCUGUGAAUGUCAGCAGCUCCCACGGACUGGAGAUCCCGUGAGAUCCCGUGAGAUCUCACCCAUAGCCUCAUGGUACAUCCACUUGGUGUGCUGGGAGAGUCAGGAUGAGGACCUGAGAAGAACAGCAGCUUGAACCUGACUUCAUUUAACAGCCCACUGCCCUCUUGCCAAGAACCCAUCACAGACCUUCCCAGAAGAGAGGGAUGAGCCUCACCUAUGAAUAAGUCCUCAGAAACUCAAAUUUGAUUCUAAUGGAUUGUUUUCUCAGAAAGACUGAGCAUGUCCCCCCACAUCUCUGUCAUUUCCCACAGUAGUAACCUCUGCAGAUGCCACAUAGAAAACAAAACAAAACAAAAAAACAUGAGGUUGGUGGGCAGAUAGGCAGGGUAUAAACAAACAGCCUUGUAACCCAGAAGCUGUGUGAUAUACAGUAAACUUCACAACACUGAAAAGAUGUCCUAUCUGUUAAAAUGGGGUAAUAACAACUACCCGAAUGUUUAGGAAUAGAACUUCAAUAAAUGAUACAUUUUAUAGUACAGCAGACCAUCCUGUAAAGGUUUCAUCCUUCACUGUGGUGAUAAAUAUCCCAAACCACAUUGAAAAGCAUUGCAUCUACAUUUAUCUACACUGUAACUGUACUGUAAAUCAUGGGGGAGGGGAGAAUCAUAAAAACACCACCUGUCACCGUGUCAUUAAAGCAAGUUGGAAGUGAUACUUACAGAAACACAGCAAGAGCACCCCCAGUCACACAGUUCAAUCUCUUAGCAAGCGUUUUCUUUCUAGCCCAGUGGUUCUCAGUUUGGAAUUUUUGGCACUGCCUAGAGAUAGUUUUGUUGUUAAAACUGAGAAAAGAGCCGGGCGUGGUGGCACACGCCUUUAAUCCCAGCACUCAGGAGGCAGAGGCAGG
rnacentral:lncRNA from 1 species